rnacentral:rRNA from 1 species
CCUACGGGAGGCAGCAGUGAGGAAUAUUGGUCACUGGGGGUAAUCCUGAACCAGCCAUGCCGCGUGCAGGACGAAGGCUCUACGAGUUGUAAACUUCUUUUGUACCGGAGUAAAAGUCUCUACGUGUAGGUUUUUUAAUGUACCAUACGAAUAAUGAUCGGCUAACUCCGUGCCAGCCGCCGCGGUAAUACGGAGGAUCCGAGCGUUAUCCGGAUUUAUUUGGUUUAAAGGGUGCGUAGGUUGUUUUUUAAGUUAGCUGUGAAAUUUUGUGGCUCAACCAUAGAAUUGCAGGUGAAACUGUAAGACUUGAGUACGGGUGAGGUAGGCGGAAUGUGUGGUGUAGCGGUGAAAGGCAUAGAUAUCACGCAGAACACCGAUUGCGAAGGCAGCUUGCUAGG